GCCCGCCCCGGCCGCUGCAGCCUUCCAGGCCGCCAGGACGCACUGCGCAGGCAAAGCCGCCCGAGGGCUCCCGCACCCCGCCCUCGGUGCAGCCGCCGCUUGGCGGGCCUGGGCCGCACGUAGAAGGACGUGGAGCUGCCGUCCUCCUUCGCGAACAGAGUUGAGGAAUGGUUGGGCCCGUUGGGGUUUUUGCCCAAAUCCAUCGCUUCCACCGUGUCUUACGCCGGGCACCAGAGGAGCCGCCCCCUCCCGAGCACCUAGCACGCAGAGAGCGACUGAUUGAGCCACUACUAAUUUUUAGAAAGAAAAUAACCCUCUUAUUUGUGACAACAUGGAUGAAUCUGGAGAAUAUUAUGCUAAAUGAAAGAAGCCAGAUGUGUCACUGGUGACCACAUUCCUACUCCACAGGAUCUUCCUCAACGGAAACCAUCUCCUGUUGCUAGCAAGCUGGCCAGCUGAUUAAAAGAGCUGAACUGCAUGAAUCUGCUAAUUCCCAUGAUUUCUCCUUAAUAUGUUACUUACCUACUUUUUAUUUUCUUUCAUUCACUAAGUCAUUUGAGACUGACAGCUUUGCAGGUAGCAGUAGUGUGUGCUUCUAUUGUGGAAUAUACUUGUGUAGAGUUUUUGAUUCGUUUAACAGUGCACUGGUGAAGAGGAUGUGUUAGAGCAACAUUAGUAAACUACUUGAAAAUAAUUGUUUGUAUUAUCUAACUCCAAGUGUAGUACUGGUUCAAACAAGUAACCAGCAAGUUUUAAAAUUUUAAUGUUUUGGCUUUCAUUACUUCAUCUUAAUUACAGCUUUGUAUGUUACUCUUAUUUAAUAUAAUCUCUAUUGUAUUGAUUUC